UGCUCGAGAACCACUCCUAGAGUCUUGAAAGCCUUCUCCGUUUUUGCCAACUAGUACUGGGCAUCUUCAAAAGAUGAUUCCCCUGCAAAAGUGGAAGGUUUCAAUCUCAUGUACCUCUCUACGUAGCUCGGGUCAAUCAAGGAAGGAGCUUGGUUCUGCGAAAGAGGAACUGGGCCAGGCUGAGGAUAAACUAGGGGGCUCUGUGGUGGUACUUGCUGGUAUGGUGGGGGCACCAGAUUAUACUGUGUGGUACAGGGUAGUAUUGCGGCUGAGGCACC
rnacentral:lncRNA from 1 species